GGCGUUAAUCGCUGUAUGUACAGCAUUUCAUAGUGAAACUCUACACAUACAUACUCCAGGCACCAUGGCCACUUCAAAUGGUGCUUGGAGUAACCCGUUAUGUCAAAAUAAUUAAUAUAUGGAGAAAAUAGUUGAGAUGGUGAGCAUGUAUGUAUAGAUUGGUUUCAAAAUUAAUUAUCUUUGAAAAUCAAGCUGUUAAAG